GACGGAGGAGGCUAGCGUUGUUCGGAAUUACUGGGCGUAAAGCGUGUGCAGGUUGUAAGUUAAGUCUGAUGUGAAAGCCCGGGGCUCAACCUCGGAUGUGCAUUAGAUACUGGCUUGCUGGAGGUUGGAAGAGGAGAGUGGAAUUCCCAGUGUAGAGGUGAAAUUCGUAGAUAUUGGGAAGAACACCAGUGGCGAAGGCGGCUCUCUGGUCCAUACCUGACACUCAAACACGAAAGCGUGGGGAGCAAACAGG
rnacentral:rRNA from 1 species